ACAUUCUAUUGGCCAAAGUAUAUCACAUGGCCAUGCCAAGUGAAUGGGGCACUGAAGUUCAUCCUGCACACAACAUCCCAGCAAUAGCACAAUGUAUAACAGUACCCAAGGGUCACAAAGGACAGUCUAUUGAUUCAAUCUGCAGAAGUACCAGAGAACAGAAGAAAGUGGGCCAGAAGCCAUGCUGAUCUAAAGACUAUGGAGCCUCCACUGGACAAGGUCAGAAAGGCAUGCUCAUCAGAGACACUUCAGUCAAAAUUCCUGCCUCCAGGUUCCUGCCUUGAGAUCCUGCCCCAACUUGUCUUCAUGAUGGACUUCCACUGUUAAGCUUAAAUAAAUCCCUUCCUCCCCAA